rnacentral:rRNA from 1 species
UACGGAGGGUGCAAGCGUUAUCCGGAUUCACUGGGUUUAAAGGGUGCGUAGGCGGACAGGUAAGUCAGUGGUGAAAUCUCUGGGCUUAACCCAGAAACUGCCGUUGAUACUAUUUGUCUUGAAUAUCCUGGAGGUAGGCGGAAUAUGUCAUGUAGCGGUGAAAUGCUUAGAUAUGACAUAGAACACCAAUUGCGAAGGCAGCUUGCUACACAGUUAUUGACGCUGAGGCACGAAAGCGUGGGGA